rnacentral:lncRNA from 1 species
CAGCUUGCUUCGUCUAAUAUAGUAAUAUGUUACAUAGUAUGAAUGUAGUAAUGUAUUUGUCGCUCAUAAAAUCCGAGUGAUCGACAAAUAACAUAAGAGACCUAAAUGAUUGAACAACUAGUAGAUAUUAUAUCCCAAGAUAAUGAAUGCUUACAUGAGCAAACUUGCUUUCGGUUUUGACAUAGAGAAAUUGAAUUCUGAGUUGCAAGGUGUUACCGACAAGUUGCAUCGCAAGCACCUAUACUGGGAAUGACAUUGCACAAAAACAUCAUGGUCAGUAAUGAAAGUUAUGGAAAGAAAAAUUAGUGUAGCUUGACAAAUCGCAAUCUAUACUAAAAGUAGAUAACGCGUAAAGAUAUACAAAGCCAAUUAGUUGAUGAACGACUGGCAGUUCCGUGAGAGUAAU